UGUGAAAGUGAAUGUGAGCCGAACCAAGAAAAACAUGCAACAUUGUAACAAUUUAGCCUCUGUUUCGGAAGAAUUUAAACGAGCUAAAGGUCUGAAAACGCCAAUAAAAAUCUUGCUUUGUGAAGGACCCCCAUCCUCCUUAUAAAAACUUAGAGAUGAAAAGUCAACACACACCCAUCACCUUAAGUUGGAAUAUUUAAACGCAGCCGGAUCAUGGGCAAAACAGGUGUAAAAACUUCACCCCAAACUGCAACUCUAGGGUGUGCAGUUGGCAUUUCCCCAAUGGCAAAGCUGCUGGGCCAUCGCAAUUCGCAUGGAACAAGGAGAAGAUUUACCUUCGCCAGUGACCUGUACGGUGGGAGUGCUUUAGACAAGGCAAUAACAGCUGGCUGUGGACUUCUCCAACAUCUGCAACGAGGUGAUAUGGUUAUGGCAGACAAGAGCUUCACAAUUCGGGACAUUUUGUUAGAGGGAGUUUUGCUGAACAACCUGUCUUUCCUUGUUAAUGCACAGUUCACACAGGAGGAAAUGAACAAUAACAGACUAAUCUCCAGUGCUAGGAUACACUAGUGUUCCAUUCAGAGGCUGAAUUAUUUAUUUUUUUAUUUUAUUGUUUUUGCAUUUUGGACCACAUCCCAUACCAGUUCAGAAAAAAAAAAUCAACAACAUACUGAAAGUAUGUGUGUCUUACAAAUUUACAAACACCCAUUCUCCAUUAAAUUGAAUGAAUUAACUGACUGCCAAUGUGUGUUGAACAUUGUUGAAUAACACUGAUUCAUGCUGGUUAAGGGAGAGACAGGUGUGCUUUGCUCCCUUGUGGGCAUCUUCUGACUGAUUUAUGCCUGUUUGUUUUGCAGAAAACAUUUAUUCAAAAAGUAAUACCAAAUAAAAAAUUUGUUACUCUUUUUUUAA